rnacentral:tRNA from 2 species
AGUCCCGUAGUUCAAUAGUUAGAACGUCAGGGUAUUAACCCGAAAGUCACAAGUUCGAAUCCUGCCGGGACCA